UACGUAGGGUGCGAGCGUUGUCCGGAAUUAUUGGGCGUAAAGGGCUCGUAGGCGGUCUGUCGCGUCGGGAGUGAAAACUCAGGGCUUAACCCUGAGCCUGCUUCCGAUACGGGCAGACUAGAGGUAUGCAGGGGAGAACGGAAUUCCUGGUGUAGCGGUGGAAUGCGCAGAUAUCAGGAGGAACACCGGUGGCGAAGGCGGGUCUCUGGGCCGUAACUGACGCUGAGGAGCGAAAGCAUGGGAGCGAACAGG
rnacentral:rRNA from 1 species